rnacentral:rRNA from 1 species
AGCAGCCGCGGUAAUACGUAGGUCCCGAGCGUUGUCCGGAUUUAUUGGGCGUAAAGCGAGCGCAGGCGGUUAGAUAAGUCUGAAGUUAAAGGCUGUGGCUUAACCAUAGUACGCUUUGGAAACUGUUUAACUUGAGUGCAAGAGGGGAGAGUGGAAUUCCAUGUGUAGCGGUGAAAUGCGUAGAUAUAUGGAGGAACACCGGUGGCGAAAGCGGCUCUCUGGCUUGUAACUGACGCUGAGGCUCGAAAGCGUGGGGAGCAAACAGGAUUAGAUACCCUGGUAGUCAAGGGCGAAUUCGC